rnacentral:rRNA from 1 species
UGCCUAACACAUGCAAGUCGAACGGUAACAGGUCUUCGGAUGCUGACGAGUGGCGCACGGGUGAGUAACGCGUGGAUAUCUGCCUAUGAGUGGGGGACAACUUUCGGAAACGAAAGCUAAUACCGCAUAAUCUCUACGGAGCAAAGCAGGGGACCUUUCGGGGCCUUGUGCUUAUAGAUGAGUCCGCGUCAGAUUAGCUAGUUGGUGGGGUAAGAGCCUACCAAGGCGAUGAUCUGUAGCUGGUUUGAGAGGAUGAUCAGUCACACUGGAACUGAGACACGGUCCAGACUCCUACGGGAGGCAGCAGUGGGGAAUUUUGCACAAUGGGCGCAAGCCUGAUGCAGCGAUGCCGCGUGUGGGAAGAAGGCCUUUGGGUUGUAAACCACUUUCAAUUGGGAAGAAGGGAUGAGGAUUAAUAAUCCUCUGACUUGACGGUACCUUUAGAAGAAGCACCGGCUAAUUUCGUGCCAGCAGCCGCGGUAAUACGAAAGGUGCAAGCGUUGUUCGGAUUUACUGGGCGUAAAGAGAUCGUAGGUGGUUUGUUAAGUUGGAUGUGAAAUCCCGGGGCUCAACCUCGGAACUGCAUCCAAAACUGGCAGACUUGAGUUCGGGAGGGGUAAGCGGAAUUCCGUGUGUAGCAGUGAAAUGCGUAGAUAUACGGAGGAACACCUGAGGCGAAGGCGGCUUACUGGACCGAUACUGACACUGAGGAUCGAAAGCGUGGGUAGCAAACAGGAUUAGAUACCCUGGUAGUCCACGCCCUAAACGAUGUCAACUAGCCGUUGCGGGUAUCGACCCCUGCAGUGGCGCAGCUAACGCGAUAAGUUGACCGCCUGGGGAGUACG